AUAGUUUUUGAACGUUGAAAAAAGUUAUCAUGGAUUGACACUUUUUGGAUUUUUCUCGAAAAAAGGUAAUUUUUUCACGUCAAUGUCAAUCAAUUUUAGUGUUGAUGUCCAAAGAUUUUCCACUUCUGUUCUCAAGUUAUCUCUAAUCAGAUAUAUUAGAGCCUAUUUAGAUUGAAGAAAGAACACAUUUAGCAAUUUUUGUAUGGUAUUGUAAAUUUGACUUAUUUUCCUCUAUAUGGGUAAAAAUUUCAACCCGGUAUAACUUAAAUCGUCGUGAGAAAAUAUUACAUUUUAUAACGUUGUAUUAAGUAUCAAUAUAUUGUUCAUAAACGUUAAAAAAUUCAUUCAAUUCGGUUUACUGGUUUCCGAGAUAUGACAGCUCAUAAAUGAGUUGUCUAAAAAAUAGUGUUUUACCCGAACGGUUCUAACUUCGCGAAAAAUUAUUCAAUCGAGCCCAAUUUUGUAUGAUUGGUACAUAUAACAGGUUGAUAAACAGUCAAAAUUUGAGAACUUUUGAUGCACUCUAUGAAAAGUUACAGCAUGUUGAAUUUUUUUGUGGGAGAAAAAAAGUUGCCUAUCCCAAACAUUUUGGCCACCCCCUGUACUUCUCUCAAAAGCUUCUCCUCGAAGCUUGGAAAAGCUUCUUUCAAAGCCUCGCGGAAGCUUGUCUCACAAGCUUUGAUAAGCUUCUCUUAGAAGCUUGGAAAAACUUCUGUCAGAAGUUUUAUUCUGCUUCUCGAAAAAGCUUAGAAAAGCUGCUCAAAAUCGUCGGAAACCGUAUCUAAGACGUUUAGGAAAGCUUCUCGUAGGAGUUUGGGGUAAACGACAACCGAACUGAGUUUAUGUCAACAUGAAUACUGUUUCGGACCACAGUGCACUGUUGGUCAUAUAGCUAAGCACUGCAACAUAUACCUAUCGAAAGCAAUGCAUAACAAACGACCGACCGCGACGACCGGAGGGCGACAGUCACCGCUGGAACGUCGUGCAGGUCGCUCUUACUACACCGUCGGACCGUUCGUUGCCGUUAGAUCGCGAACCGUGCGGAACGUUUUGUUCGUGUACCAAACCGUGAGGUACUGAGGUACUAACUGCCUCCCGAACGCAGGGGUCUCUAGCGCUGUGUGAACGUGCGUCUCGUCCACGGAUUGCGUCAUAGCUAUUUGAAGAAUUCCCGCCGACGACUCGACUCGACAACCGAUCGCCGCCGAUAGCGCCGACCAGUGCGAACGCCAAAAGGUUUUCGCUGUCGAAACAACACCUAAAUUAUUGCAGCGUGUGUAAUGACCUGGACCUGCCGGAACAAGACGGCGAAGAAGGAGACGAACAAAAGUAGCGCCGAGUGUUGUGGACGGUGGAGAUAACGAAGUCAUCGUCGUAGUCGCAGUCGCGGGUGUGGAGGGUGGUUGUAAAAAUAACCUUUACAGCCUUUGUACGGCAAAAAUGUUUGUAGGGAUUGCCUACUUUGAAGGGCCACAAUCAAAGCUGUGUAUUUAAUAUAAAUCCUGGAACAAAUCGAAAAAGUUGCAAACGUGCUGACCGCCACUGUACGUCGCGCGGCGACACACAGGAAGGAACGGAACAAGUGAAACUCGAAUGAACGAGCCAGCAGGGAAAGAGAGAGAUUGUACGUACAAAAUCCACGGAGAAAACUGCAGUGGGUCCGAGAAGUAUCGAGUGCUGCAUCUGACGACUGAUGGUUGACCGGAGUGCUGCUCUCAGCAGGUUCGUCACCUAUUGGACUUCAUCUCUAGGUACUGCAAGAUGUUCAGCUUUCAGAUGAUGUGCGGUCGUUCCAAAUAAUGCGAGGAUUGAUUCGCGAGGCAUGAAUUUAGUGCGACUAGAUCGAGAUUGAUGCUCAAAGUGCGACAAAAGUGGAAGAAAGGUACACGUGAGUGAGCUUAGCGACUGUUUUGUAAUCGGACAGCUUCAGCGACACUGUCGUCCGUACGGUGGUGUGAGUGAUUUUCCAGGUGUGCUGAAUAGUUUUGCAGUGUUUUUCCAUAUAGUGAUCGGCGGUGUGGCAGUACAAACCGGGUGCAAUUUGCUACAAAAACAUCAUCAACGUGCUUCGCAUUCGUUGGAUUUAUUAGUUCUUCGUCCACCAAGUUAGCAAAAAUAAAACGUCCAAAAUGCCUAAAUCGGUAAGUAGCAAGUACAACCCCAUUUCCUGUUCAGAACAAUACCAAAUUUCGAGAAUUCGCUAUUUUAUUUCAUCUCUUCGGAAGCUGAAUUCCGUUUCCUGUGGAUUCAAUUUUCACAAAAUCAAAAACCUUUGUUCUAACGUUUCAAAAACAACAUCUUCCACCAGAGGUGGCACCACCUACACCCCAAGACUUUAGCCAAAUACAGACGGAACGUAACGUCUCGCUAGAAGCUGCGACCUUACGUAAGCCGCCGUCGUAGUCUACAGACAGCAGCAAC